rnacentral:rRNA from 1 species
AAACUUUCAACAACGGAUCUCUUGGUUCCGGCAUCGAUGAAGAACGCAGCGAAAUGCGAUAACUAAUGUGAAUUGCAGAAUUCAGUGAAUCAUCGAGUCUUUGAACGCACAUUG